AAUGCCGGUAUUCUUUGUCAGAUGCUUCUAGGAAGCAAUCAUUUAUUCAAACCAACACCCAGAGAAGAGUGAAGUGUUUUGAGAGGGAUGUUCACUGGUCAUGCUUUGGUGUCACAUUGCGUGACUCCGGCUUGGGGAGGGUAAUGAUGAACUUCUUAAGUGGGUCCCUUAGGAGGAAUGAAGAUACUCUAUAAUGAAAGAAUGACUGCAGAUGAGUAAAGUCAGGUAGACUAACAGAAGGGAGGAGAUGAGACUGCUGCACUUACUAUUUCACAGACUUGCACAAGAACCCAGAUGAAUCAGAACUGAAAGCAUACAGAGAAGGUCCAGUUUUUCAACGUGUUCCCAGCAACUUGUACCAAUGCCUCCUGCUGAGUUCAGAAGCAUUAAUCAUUGCACAUGGAGAACAUAGAAGCGUAUCUAAA